CAGUCGCCGCGGUAAUACGUAGGGGGCAAGCGUUAUCCGGAAUUACUGGGUGUAAAGGGAGCGUAGACGGUUAAACAAGUCUGAAGUGAAAUGCCGGGGCUCAACCCCGGAGCUGCUUUGGGAACUGUAGAACUGGAGUGUCGGAGGGGUAAGCGGAAUUCCCAGUGUAGCGGUGAAAUGCGUAGGUAUUGGGAGGAACACCGGCGGCGAAGGCGGCUUACUGGACGACAACUGACGUUGAGGCUCGAAGGCGUGGGUAGCAAACAGGAUUAGAUACCCGAGUAGUCCCUGUCUCUUAUAC
rnacentral:rRNA from 1 species